GAUGAAGAACGUAGCAAAAUGCGAUAAGUAAUGUGAAUUGCAGAAUUCAGUGAAUCAUCGAAUCUUUGAACGCACAUUGCGCCCGCCAGCAUUCUGGCGGGCAUGCCUGUUCGAGCGUCAUUUCAACCCUCGAGCCCCCCCGGGGGCCUCGGUGUUGGGGGACGGCACACCAGCCGCCCCCGAAAUGCAGUGGCGACCCCGCCGCAGCCUCCCCUGCGUAGUAGCACACACCUCGCACCGGAGCGCGGAGGCGGUCACGCCGUAAAACGCCCAACUUUCUUAGAGUUGACCUCGGAUCAGGUAGGAAUACCCGCUGAACUUAAGCAUAUCAAAAGCGGAGGA
rnacentral:misc_RNA from 1 species